rnacentral:lncRNA from 1 species
UCAUUCUCCAUAACUCACGUUGCUAUCUCUUCAUCAGUUACAAGUUGUGCCAUACAUCUCUCCAUCAAUUAGCCACGAUUCUCUCCUCAUCCAAAGUCCUUAUCUCCUCAACUUCUCCAAAGUGCAUUAUAAAGCUAGGGUUCCAAGUUGGAGUGAAGAAACGAGUAUUGGGGGUAGAAAUUCUUCAAGCUUUUCUUCAUUCUCCAUCAUAUAAUCUGUGCAAC